GCUUACGGCCAUACCAACCUGGCUAUGCCCGAUCUCGUCUGAUCUUGGAAGCUAAACAGGUUUGGGCCUGGUUAGUACUUGGAUGGUAGACUGCCUGGGAAUACCAGGUGCUGUAAGCU
rnacentral:rRNA from 1 species